UUGUUAAUACGUGUACGCCUGUUUUUCAGUUGGUACGUUUUAACAAUGUGUACUGGAUUAUAAUAGACAAAAAUAUCCUCAUUUAUCAUGGAUUCUAAGUUUUAAGGUAAAGGAUAUUUAAAUAAUUUUCAUUCUCAAAAUUAAAAAAAAAAAAAAAACGAAACCCUCGAACCCUUACUCACCUUCCUCAUUCCUCUCAACCAUUUUCUCUAUCACCCCUAUUGUUGCCCCAAUUAAAAAAAAAUCAGAAACUCUUGCCAAAAGUUUAUUCUAAACGCC
rnacentral:lncRNA from 1 species